rnacentral:tRNA from 1 species
GGAAAGGUGACCGAGUGGUUCAAGGUGCUGAUCUGGAACGUCAGUUGUGCACAGCACACGAGGGUUCGAAUCCCUCUCUUUCCG